rfam:Salmo salar isolate Sally breed double haploid chromosome ssa09, whole genome shotgun sequence.
UGCAUUCACUACUGUAAGUCGCUCUGGAUAAGAGCGUCUGCUAAAUGACGUAAG